rnacentral:rRNA from 1 species
UUGAACGCUGGCGGCAUGCCUUACCCAUGCAAGUCGAACGGUAACGCGGGGCAACCUGGCGACGAGUGGCGAACGGGUGAGUAAUGCAUCGGAACGUGCCCAGAAGUGGGGGAUAGCCCGGCGAAAGCCGGAUUAAUACCGCAUGAGACCUGAGGGUGAAAGCGGGGGAUCGCAAGACCUCGCGCUUUUGGAGCGGCCGAUGUCAGAUUAGCUAGUUGGUGGGGUAAAGGCCUACCAAGGCGACGAUCUGUAGCUGGUCUGAGAGGACGACCAGCCACACUGGGACUGAGACACGGCCCAGACUCCUACGGGAGGCAGCAGUGGGGAAUUUUGGACAAUGGGCGCAAGCCUGAUCCAGCCAUGCCGCGUGCGGGAAGAAGGCCUUCGGGUUGUAAACCGCUUUUGUCAGGGAAGAAACGCUCUGGGCUAAUACCCUGGGGUAAUGACGGUACCUGAAGAAUAAGCACCGGCUAACUACGUG